rnacentral:rRNA from 1 species
GUGCCAGCCGCCGCGGUAAUACCGGCAGCCCGAGUGAUGACCGAUCUUAUUGGGCCUAAAGCGUCCGUAGCUGGCCGACCAAGUCUCCCGGGAAAUCCACCCACCCAACGGGUGGGCGUCCGGUAGAAACUGGCCGGCUUGGAACCGGAAGGCUCAGAGAGUACGUCCGGGGUAGGAGUGAAAUCCCGUAAUCCCGGACGGACUACCGAUGGCGAAAGCACUCUGAGAAGACGGCUUCGACAGUGAGGGACGGAAGCUCGGGUCUCAAACCGGAUUAGAAACCCCGGUGUCC